UUGCACCUCUUUUUAGAAGAAGUUCCUUUUGACUUUGUUUUUUGAACUGUAACUCAUGGUGCACAAAGAAAAUACUGUCUCAGCAAUGGCCAGACAACCAUAGAGAUGGAUCCACAGAUAAUUAGUUUACAAUAUGACUCAUCUACUAAUUCUAUCUGACAUUC